rnacentral:rRNA from 1 species
GAUGAACGCUGGCGGCGUGCCUAAUACAUGCAAGUCGAGCGAACAGAUGAGAAGCUUGCUUCUCUGAUGUUAGCGGCGGACGGGUGAGUAACACGUGGGUAACCUACCUAUAAGACUGGGAUAACUCCGGGAAACCGGGGCUAAUACCGGAUAAUAUUUUGAACCGCAUGGUUCAAUAGUGAAAGACGGUUUCGGCUGUCACUUAUAGAUGGACUCGCGCCGUAUUAGCUAGUUGGUAAGGUAACGGCUUACCAAGGCGACGAUAGGUAGCCGACCUGGCAGGGUGAUCGGCCACACUGGAACUGAGACACGGUCCAGACUCCGACGGGAGGCAGCAGUAGGGAAUCUUCCGCAAUGGGCGAAAGCCUGACGGAGCAACGCCGCGUGAGUGAUGAAGGUCUUCGGAUCGUAAAACUCUGUUGUUAGGGAAGAACAAAUUUGUUAGUAACUGAACAAGUCUUGACGGUACCUAACCAGAAAGCCACGGCUAACUACGUGCCAGCCGCCGCCGUAA